rnacentral:rRNA from 1 species
UACGGAGGGGACUAGCGUUGCUCGGAAUUACUGGGCGUAAAGGGUGUGUAGGCGGUCUUUUAAGUUAGGUGUGAAAGCCCGGGGCUCAACCUCGGAAUAGCACUUAAUACUGGAAGACUUGAGUCUGGGAGAGGGCAGUGGAAUUUCUAGUGUAGGAGUGAAAUCCGUAGAUAUUAGAAGGAACACCGAUGGCGAAAGCAGCUGCCUGGAACAGUACUGACGCUGAGGCACGAAAGCGUGGGGAGCAAACAGG